rnacentral:rRNA from 1 species
CGUAGGUGGCGAGCGUUGUCCGGAAUUAUUGGGCGUAAAGGGCGCGUAGGCGGUUUUUUAAGUCAGGUGUGAAAGCCCCCGGCUCAACUGGGGAGUGUCAUCUGAUACUGGGAAACUCGAGUGCAGGAGAGGAAAGUGGAAUUCCAUGUGUAGCGGUGAAAUGCGUAGAUAUAUGGAGGAACACCAGUGGCGAAGGCGGCUUUCUGGACUGCAACUGACGCUGAGGCGCGAAAGCUGGGGGAGCGAACGGGAUUAGAUACCCCGGUAGUCCCAGCCGUAAACGAUGGAUGCUAGGUGUGGGGGGUAUCGACCCCUUCCGUGCCGCAGUUAACACAAUAAGCAUCCCGCCUGGGGAGUACGGCCGCAAGGUUG